rnacentral:rRNA from 1 species
GACGAACGCUGGCGGCGUGCUUAACACAUGCAAGUCGAACGGAAAGGCCCUGCUUUUGUGGGGUGCUCGAGUGGCGAACGGGUGAGUAACACGUGAGUAACCUGCCCUUGACUUUGGGAUAACUUCAGGAAACUGGGGCUAAUACCGGAUAGGAGCUCCUGCUGCAUGGUGGGGGUUGGAAAGUUUCGGCGGUUGGGGAUGGACUCGCGGCUUAUCAGCUUGUUGGUGGGGUAGUGGCUUACCAAGGCUUUGACGGGUAGCCGGCCUGAGAGGGUGACCGGCCACAUGGGGUGUGAGAAGCGGCCGCGGCCCCAGGGGGGGAAGGGGGGGGGAAUUUGACAAAAGGGGGGGAGGCCGAGGGCAACAACGCCGGGGGGGGAAGGACGGCUUUGGGGUUUGAAACCGCUUUGGCUUGGAACGAGGGGUGGGGAAGGGAAAGGGUAAAAAAGGACCCGGCAAACUAGGG